GAAGGAGUAUAUGAAUCUCUACUUAUCAAGGGUUGUCACUGCAGACUAGGUUCAAUUCCACAGUACGUGUGAAUCCUAAUUACCCACAAG